rnacentral:rRNA from 1 species
AUACGGAGGAUCCGAGCGUUAUCCGGAUUUAUUGGGUUUAAAGGGUGCGCAGGCGGCCAUUUAAGUCAGCGGUUAAAUCGUGGGGCUCAACCCCAUUCUGCCGUUGAUACUGGGUGGCUUGAUUGCGGUCGAGGUUGGCGGAAUUCGUUGUGUAGCGGUGAAAUGCAUAGAUAUGACGAAGAACACCGAUUGCGUAGGCAGCUGACCAGACCGCAAAUGACGCUCAUGCACGAAAGGGCGGGGAUCGAACAGGAUUAGAUACCCUGGUAGUCCGCACAGUAAACGAUGAUGACUAACCGUCGGCGAUAGACCGCCGGUGGCCAAGCGAAAGCGAUAAGUCAUCCACCUGGGGAGUACGACCGCAAGGUUGAAACUCAAAGGAAUUGACGGGG